rnacentral:rRNA from 1 species
GUCUACCUACGGGGCGCAGCAGUGAGGAAUAUUGGUCAAUGGCCGAGAGGCUGAACCAGCCAAGUCGCGUGAGGGAUGACGGCCCUACGGGUUGUAAACCUCUUUUGUCGGGGAGCAAGACCCGCCUCGUGCAGGCGGAGCGAGAGUACCCGAAGAAAAAGCAUCGGCUAACUCCGUGCCAGCAGCCGCGGUAAUACGGAGGAUGCGAGCGUUAUCCGGAUUUAUUGGGUUUAAAGGGUGCGCAGGCGGACCAUCAAGUCAGCGGUAAAAUCGUGGGGCCCAACCCCCUCCGGCCCUUGCAACCG